GUCAACAUCAAGUGCCUCAUCAGUCUCCGACAAAGUUCAGUUUUUACCGAGUUCCAAGGACUUAACUACCACCAGACAAAUGUAAUGGUUUUCCACAGACACACCAUUUUCGGACACCACCACAAAAGGAUGCCUGAUGCGAGGAUGUCUUUUCCAACAACAGGCCAGCUGCAGACACACCGUCAUCAGAUGAAGUCUACCUCUCUUUAUGUAGAUGCAUGAAGCCGACCAUCAAGAUGCAAGGAUGUCUUCAUCAACAGGCUAGCUGCAGACACACCAUCAUCAGAUGAACUCUACCUCUCCAUAAGAAGUAGAUGCAUGAAGCUUACCAUCAAGAUUCAAGGAUGUCUCUUUUUACAGGCAAGCCACAGACACACUAUUGUUGGAAACCACCACAAAAGGAUACCUGAUGCGAGGAUGUCUAUUCCAACAACAGGCUAGCUGCAGACACACCAUCAUCAGAUGAAGUCGACCUCUCCAUCAGAAGUAGAUGCGUGAAGCCCACCAUCAAGAUUCAAGGAUGUCGUCAUCAACAGGCUUCACUUACACAGACACGUCAUUGUCAGAUGAAGUCUACUUCUCCAGAAGUACAUACAUCUCCAGCAACAGGCUACCUGCGGACAUACCUAUGUCGGAUAAAGUCUUCCUCUCCAGAAGAAGAUAUAUACAUGAAGCUUACCAUCAAGGUUCAAGGAUGUCUUAAUCAACAGAUAAACUUGAUACAGACAUGACGAUUUCAGAUGAAGUGUACCUCUCCAAAAGAUGCAUGAUGCAAAUGCUGCCGUGACAGAUGUGGUCUGUACGCUAUGUCUACCUCUUCAACGGCGAGGGUCGCAUACUCCAGAGAGGUCUACUCAUCAACCAAGUAGAUGUCUGAGACCUGCAGCUGAUACGCUUCCUAACAAUGUACAAGUCUGGAAAAUGAACUGCUCUCGCCUUGAUAAAAGGUGUGCCAUGAUAUCUACUAGUCGAUUCCUGACACCUGCAACAGUGCCCACUAAGUAUCAAACAACCGAACAGAGGUACAUGUAAAUUCCAUGUAGGUGUUUUACACUAACAUCAAAAAGUGGUCUGUUUUUGCAGCACUUAUACAAACAGAAUACCUCACAUGCCACAACAUUGAUGGGGAGUUUAUGCGGACACCAGUCUAACCCAUUAUGCGUGGCUGGUCCCUACAGAUUGAUUACAGAUUUAAAAAAUAGUAAACAUGUUUAUGAUUAACAACACCCUUAUACAUGUUAUAUAAUUAAUUGAGCACAUUCCUUAAAAAGCAUACUAUUGUAAAAGUUGUUUGUAUGGUACAGAUAUGGAUGUUUUGUAGAGUUGAAGAUCGAAAUGCCAAAGUUUUGUGUAAUACUAAUUAUAUAGGUUGCAAUAAAUAUCAAAAUAUUAUCAUUUCAUAUAUAUGAAAGAUACAUUUUUGUGUAAGUAAAAGUUGUAAGUAAAACAAACAGGUUUAUUUAAGAAACCAAGUAACAUUUAUGGUUCUUGAGAUUAACCUUGCAAGGGUAAAUUGAUACCACCAGGAGGGCCUGGUCAUUUGACCUUUCCAUUUUGCAAUUUGCCUAAUUUUGUACGACUACAUGUCUGUUUUCGGUAAUUUUUCAUAGCACUUCAUUCUUGAAGGCUUUUUGAGGGAGAAAUCUAAAAUGGAAGCAUAAAAUAUUGUUCAGGUUAUUCAAAACAUCAAGUAAUUGUGGAUAAACAACUUUUGGACUCACUUGAUUUGUAAGAUUUAAGAAAGUUUAAUUGAUGUUAAGUAAGUCCCAGGGCCCAAUUUCAUAGAGCUGCUUAGCGGUAGAUUUUGUGCUGAACGGGCGCACCUAGCGAAGUAAACGAGUGUCUAAAAUACUUCAGAAAUGGUGUAGAAUGUAUCUUCUACUUGUUUACUAUCAAGUCAUUUUAAGGGGCGCUUUAAACCACUACAAACAAUACAUAUCAGACAGAGAAGGUGAUGAUUUUUUUUAUCGCCACUCUGCAUUUAUUUCGCCCUUCAUUUUGUCAGCACCUUCUUCUUUUUUGCCUAAGCAACCGAUCUAAAAUGGUGUGCCUCAGUUUGUUUACAUGCUUAAGCCAGCAACCGCUCGUUAAACAGGUUUACGUUUAAGCAAUCAUUUUUGCUAUGAUAAGCAAAACAACUUGCUUGCCAUUAAGCAGCUCUAUGAAAUUGGACCAUGAUGCAAUCCUACCCAUUGUUUGUUUAGGAAUGUUUAUUGUAAAAGUAAGCUCAACAUUUACAAGCAAAGCACACAUUGUGGUAUUUGAAGUUGGAGAUCAUUGAUUAAAUGUAUCUAAUUUAUAUAACUGGGAUGGAUUUCACAAAGAGUUAGGACUAGUCUUAUCUCGAGUUAGGACAAGUUACUCAUCCUAACUUAG